UACGUAGGGUGCGAGCGUUGUCCGGAAUUACUGGGCGUAAAGAGCUCGUAGGUGGUUUGUCGCGUUGUCCGUGAAAACUCACAACUCAAUUGUGGGCGUGCGGGCGAUACGGGCAGACUGGAGUACUGCAGGGGAGACUGGAAUUCCUGGUGUAGCGGUGGAAUGCGCAGAUAUCAGGAGGAACACCGGUGGCGAAGGCGGGUCUCUGGGCAGUAACUGACGCUGAGGAGCGAAAGCGUGGGGAGCGAACAGGAUUAGAACUACCGUAGUCAGU
rnacentral:rRNA from 1 species